UGCGUAGGCGGCGCGGUAAGUCGGGUGUGAAAUCUCGGAGCUUAACUCCGAAACUGCAUUCGAUACUGCCGUGCUUGAGGACUGGAGAGGAGACUGGAAUUUACGGUGUAGCGGUGAAAUGCGUAGAUAUCGUAAGGAAGACCAGUGGCGAAGGCGGGUCUCUGGACAGUUCCUGACGCUGAGGCACGAAGGCGAGGGGAGACGAAACGGG
rnacentral:rRNA from 1 species